UACUAGAGUAGCACUCGCAUAUCAAUAAGCGGAGGAAAAGAAACUAACAAGGAUUCCCCUAGUAACGGCGAGUGAAGCGGGAAGAGCUCAAAUUUGAAAUCUUAAAGGGUUUCCCUUUACGAAUUGUAGUUUAAAGAAGUGUUUUCUGUUGAGGUUUUGGUAAAAGUUCUUUGGAAUAGGACAUCAUAGAGGGUGAGAAUCCCCGUAUUUGACCUUUACUUUCAACUUUGUGAUACACUUUCAAAGAGUCGGAUUGUUUGGGAAUGCAGUCCAAAAUGGGUGGUAAAUUUCAUCUAAAGCUAAAUAUUGGCGAGAGACCGAUAGCGAACAAGUACCGUGAGGGAAAGAUGAAAAGAACUUUGAAAAGAGAGUUAAACAGUACGUGAAAUUGUCAAAAGGGAAGCGUUUGACACCAGUGUUGUUUUUCUGAAAAUCAAUUAAAGAACUGUUUAAUGCUAAGCUGUUUAGACUUUAUCAGCUAUCUGUUUAGUUUUGAGCUUUUCUUUAAUGCACUUUUCAGUUAACAAGUCAACAUCAAUUUCUUUUGCUGUAAAAAAGCUUGAGGAAGGUGGCUUGAGAUUCGUCUUAAGUGUUUAUAGCCUCUUGCCUAUGCAGUCGGAGAGAUUGAGGUCUGCAGCGUAGAUCCUUCGGGGCUAAAUGCAUUUGUGCUAAGUUAUUAGCAUUUUAUAGACAACUUGUUGACUAUGAUUUGUCUUGUAGCUUACUCGCUUAUGUUAUUUUACCUACGCUUAGGAUGUUGAGCGCAUGUCUCUCUCU
rnacentral:rRNA from 1 species